AACGAACGCUGGCGGCAUGCCUAACACAUGCAAGUCGAACGAGACCGUCGGGUCUUGCUGCGCUCGGGGGCGUAACGCGUGGGAACCUGCCCUUAGGUUCGGUAUAACUCCCCUCAAGGGGUGCUAAGACCGGUUAAUGUCAUCCGAGCAAAGAUCUCUUGUCUUUGGGUGGGCGCGCGUUGGAUUCGCUAGUUGGUAGGGUAAAAGCCUAUCAGCGCGAGGAUCCAUAGCUGGUCUGAGAGGAUGACCAGCUACAAUCGGCCUGAGACACGGACCAGUCUCGUACGGGGGGGAGCAGAGGGGAAUAGUAGAGAAGGGACGAAAGUGUGAUCACGCAAUGUCGGGUAAGUGAGCAAGGCGUUAGGAUUGUCAAGCUGCUUUGGACGAGAUGAUAGUGACAGUACCGGGAGAAUAAGCACCGGCUAACUACGUG
rnacentral:rRNA from 1 species